rnacentral:rRNA from 1 species
GAUGAACGCUGGCGGCGUGCCUAAUACAUGCAAGUCGAGCGAACAGACGAGGAGCUUGCUCCUCUGACGUUAGCGGCGGACGGGUGAGUAACACGUGGAUAACCUACCUAUAAGACUGGGAUAACUUCGGGAAACCGGAGCUACUACCGGAUAAUAUAUUGAACCGCAUGGUUCAAUAGCGAAAGACGGUUUUGCUGUCACUUAUAGAUGGAUCCGCGCCGCAUUAGCUAGUUGGUAAGGUAACGGCUUACCAAGGCGACGAUGCGUAGCCGACCUGAGAGGGUGAUCGGCCACACUGGAACUGAGACACGGUCCAGACUCCUACGGGAGGCAGCAGUAGGGAAUCUUGCGCAAUGGGCGAAAGCCUGACGGAGCAACGCCGCGUGAGUGAUGAAGGUCUUCGGAUCGUAAAACUCUGUUAUUAGGGAAGAACAAAUGUGUAAGUAACUAUGCACGUCUUGACGGUACCUAAUCAGAAAGCCACGGCUAACUACGUG